GCCGGGUGUGGUGGCGCGCACCUGUAGUCCCAGCUACUUGGGAGGCUGAGGUAGGAGAAUCACUUGAGCCCAGGAGGCGGAGGUUGCUGUGAGCCAAGAUCAUGCCACUGCACUCCAGCCUGGGCGAUAGAGCAAGACUCUGUCUCAA
rnacentral:SRP_RNA from 1 species